rnacentral:rRNA from 1 species
GAUGAACGCUAGCGACAGGCUUAACACAUGCAAGUCGAGGGGCAGCGGGGCAGGAAGCUUGCUUUCUGCCGCCGGCGACCGGCGCACGGGUGAGUAACACGUAUGCAACCUGGCCGUGACAGAUGGAUAACCGGGAGAAAUCCCGCCUAAUACAGCAUGACGCCGGGAAGGGACAUCCCUUUCCGGCCAAAGGGGGCGACUCCGGUCACGGAUGGGCAUGCGGCGCAUUAGGUAGUUGGUGGGGCAACGGCCCACCAAGCCGACGAUGCGUAGGGGUUCUGAGAGGAAGGUCCCCCACAUUGGGACUGAGACACGGCCCAG